rnacentral:rRNA from 1 species
CCCUUAGACGUUCUGGGCCGCACGCGCGCUACACUGACCAGUGCAACAAGCAUCCGUCCUUGGCCGACAGGCCCGGGCAAUCUUUGAACGCUGGUCGUGAUGGGGAUAGACUUUUGCAAUUUUUGGUCUUCAACGAGGAAUUCCUAGUAAACGCAAGUCAUCAACUUGCAUUGAUUGCGUCCCUGCCCUUUGUACACACCGCCCGUCGCACCUACCGAUUGAAUGGUCCGGUGAAGCCUCCGGAUUGGCGCGCACCCCGGUGCCGCCGAGAAGUUGGCUAAACCUUACCAUUUAGAGGAAGGUGAAGUCGUAACA